rnacentral:tRNA from 1 species
GGGGAUUUGGCUCAGUGGUAAAGUGCUUGCCUAGUAUGCAUGAGGCUCUUAGUUCAAAUCCCCA